GCUUGUCUCAAAGAUUAAGCCAUGCAUGUCUCAGCAUAAGCUUCAACACGGUGAAACUGCAAAUGGCUCAUUAAAGCAGUUACAAUUUAUUUGAUGGUCACUGUUACAUGGAUAACUGUGGUAAUUCUAGAGCUAAUACAUGCAUCAAAACCUGACUCUUGGGAAGGGUUGUGUUUAUUAGAUACAAAACCAAACGGCUUCGGCCGUCUCAUUGGUGACUCUGAAUAACUUUGGGCUGAUCGUAUGGCCUUGUGCCGACGACGUUUCCUUCGAAGGUGUGCCCUAUCAACUGUCGACUGUGAUAUAGACGCUCACAGUGGUUUUGACGGGUAACGGGGA
rnacentral:rRNA from 1 species